UAUAUAUAUAUAUAUAUAUAUAUAGAGAGAGAGAGAGAGAGAGAGAGAGAGAGAGAGAGGGGGGUGGGGAGGAGAAAAAGCAAAAGCAUAAGAGGAAAGUGGCAUAUAAGAAAAGAGUCCUUUUAAAAAAAAUUUAUUCUUAAAAAAUUUCUAAUUGACCAAAUUAUCAUUCCAAAAUUUUAUUUGGCCAGCUAACCCUCUUCUUGCCAACUCACUGCCUCGUUGGACAAAAAUUAUCACCAUUUUUAGAAAACGGUGAAUCAUUUUCUGUUUUCAAACUAUUAUCGUUUUUUUCAUAUGUUGAGUGCUUUUAUUGGUUGUUAGGAUUGUAUAUGGAUUAUUGAAAUUUUUGUUUGAUCGUUAGGACUGUAUUGAUAGGUUAGGAUUUCUUUUUUGUUGUUAAGAUUGUUUGUGAUUUGUUAGAAAUUUUAUGUGCUUGUAAAGAUUCAAUUUAGGAAAUAGAAACAAACACUGUUUCGUAAUUAUUCUUCCAUCUUGGCUUUGAGUUGGACAAAAUAAGAUUAUUUCCACCCUGGCUUUGUGUUGGACAAAAGAAGAUUAUUUCGUCACAUAAAAUUUUGAUAGGGACAUUGGGCAAAUUAUAAUUUUUUUAAGGAUUUAUUUUAAAAAAAAGUCCGAGAAAAGAUUCUACAGUGGACUCCCAAGUCAUUAGCUUGCUGAAUAGCAUCACUAAGCAAAUGAAAAGCAUGUAAAAUUUUAUGGAAUACUUCAACUAGAUCAACCCCAAAAUGAAAAUCUUAAAAAAAAAAAAAAAUCAAAAGAAGAAUCAUUUACCUAUUCCUGUAUAUUUUAUUGAAACAUAUAUUUAUGCAAUAUUAAAAAGAUUUAAAGAAUUUGGAUGAGAAAAAAAAAAAGGAAAUGAACAUGAGGAAAUUGUAAGCAAAUAAAGUACAAAAAGAACAAACAUAAAUCCAACUCUUUGUAACAUAACUUGAUUAUGGAAAACCAAAUACCUUUGAAAAACCUCAAACGUACAAUCCAUUGGCAAAAAUAAAACAUAACACAUUCUGAAAAAAUAAAAUAAAAUAAUAGAAUACUUCACACAAAAAUAGGAGAAACUGUUGAAAGGGAGGCUCAGGUUAGCAUUUCAGCAAUCAGAUAAAAAAGACUGCCGCUCCUCUCUUCUGUUUCAGAACAUCAAUCCUAAUGGCAAGCAGCUGUUUGCCUUGCGGCCAUCCAAAUGCCUUGCCAUCAAAAUCUUUAUAAAAUAUAGGAACCUAGUUCAAAAUAUCCUAUAGUUUUUUUUUUGAGAGAGAGAGAUAGGUAGCAUGCUACCUGCUUCGUUUAUUUCUUUUAGAAAUAAACUUAGCUGGAAAAGUGAAUCAACUAGGAUUCGAACUUGAGACCUCAGAUACUAACCACCAAACCCUCUGCCAUUUGUGCCAAAGACGGUCGGUAAAAUAUCCUAUAGUUGAGGGAGUCUCCAUACAUUUUCACCCAUAUGUAUGCUCCAACCACUCAAAUGCAGAAUGAUGUUCUCAUCAAAUAUAACUGCCUCUUCUCACCAAGUCUGGGCAAUAAUUUAUCUACUGUUAGAUGGGCAAAAUGUUAACAACUAAGAAAAUGCUGAUGAAAAUAUUCAAAAUUUUGGGGGCUUUACUUCAAAUCAUGAUACAGUUGAGAGGGUCGCAGUUCAGUUUUACCCACAGUUUACAACAACAAUCAGCAAUCCUUAAGAUCUUUACAGACUUGAAAGUCGAGGAAGGUCUUACCCAUCAUCGCCUCUUCACAGAGAAAGGAAAGAAAAUGAGAAAACAGUUAAAAAAAAAAAUGAAAAAAAAAAUAAAGAAGCAACACAAAAAUUUGCAUAAGCAUCACAGUGAAAAGGCAUAAGUUUUUCUGAGCAUAACACACUGACCAAAUUAUCUAUAAAACAAAAACAUCAAAACGUCAAAAGCAGAAAUCUCUGGUUAAGCCAAUAUAUAAGAAUAUCCAAGAGUUUAAUUACUAAAAUGCACAACAACAUAAGCCACAAACUAUAAAUGAAAAAUCCGAAAAUCUUACAUCUUAACAACAACAACCUAUUUUUCAGCAAGAUGAAGUACCAAAAAAUAGGCAAAAUGAAAGAGGACCAUCCAUAAAAUAGAACAAAUUAUAGAAAAAUGGGGAAAAGAUACAACCUGGAAGGGAGCCUAAAAUUCUUAUCAAAUAGAGCACAUGAAGAGAUGUCUUAAUCCUCUCCUUGUCUGCACCAGACCAUGCUUAAGGGAGGAAAACAUCUGCAUUGGCUGCCAUGCAGCCAUUUAAGCUGCCUAACCGUCAUAUUUUUUACACCCUGUUUGGCUGUCUAAAUUGUAGAACUCUCAAGAAUUGAAAUUACAGUUAACAGGAUUUCAACUGAUUUGGAAGGAUCUGGUAGGAUUCCUCACAAUAUAAUUAAUUACCCGUCAAAAUCAAAGAAAAGGAAGACAAGGGUUCAAAUUCAACAUUACCCCAAAAAUCUAAGAUACCCGAUCAGAAGCUUUGAUAGGUCGAAUGAUCCCCUGGUAAAAUUAUUGGCUGCACUGAUCAUGUCUGUGCAUCUGUGCACCUUCAUAUCUAUCAGCUCUCCCAUCUCUAAUUUAAAAUCAAAUCCAGAAGGGCUGCAUCGGUUGCCUGACAGCCAUCCGAGAUGCCUCAUCAACAAACCAAAAUUUGAGCCAAACUUUGACACAUUCUGUCAGUGCGAAAAUUAUAAUCAUAUUCAGCACAUAGUUGCCUGUGAAAUAUGCCUAGUAAAGUACAAAAAAGAGGCAAAAUUGGAAUCCUUGCCAUAAAAUCUUAAUAACAAAAUAAAAAACUGUAAAAAAAAAAAAAAAAAAAAACCAAAUACCUUGUAAUAACUGAAAUCUAAAAGAUAUUGGCAGUAUAAAAGAUAACCAUCUGAAAAUUCGAAAGACAUUAAAAAAAAAAAAGAAAAAGAAAAAAGAAAGAGGUUGGGAUUCACAUUUCUUCAAUUGCAUUAUGAGAUCAGUUAUUCCUCUCUUCUAGUCUAAAUCAGAUAGCUUAUAGAAGGAACUGGGCUGCAUCGGUUGCCAUACAGCCUGUUGAGCCAAUUAGGCGCGGAUAGGAUCGGUGCGAAUAUUCCCUUCAAAAGCACCUAUUCGGUCGUGCAUCGGGAGCACCGGAAAAAUGUAUCGCGCCAAUUGAAGGAAGUUACAGUAACCACAAGCAGUUACAUGCGGUUCCGAUCGGCUAGAAGUGGUCCGGAAUAUGAGGAGAUAGUGGCCGAUCGUAUAAGAACAAUAACUGACCAAAGGGGCUACCUAUAAAUAGGGUAAUAAUACCCUAAAAAGGGGUCUUCGCCCCUGCGCACAAAAGACCACCUUUAUUCUCCUGCAUCUUUCUUUCUCGCAUUUACUGUUUUUUCCUAAGAGUAGUUCCUGUAACUUAGCAUCCUGGAGUCUGUCUGCCCUUUGGGCAUCACUCCGUUGUAGACUAAAACCCUUUUUCCUGUACUUUCUCCGUUCUCUUUCAAUAGAAGACAGUGUUCGACUCUUCAGGCCGACCAGCUCUUGUGCUGUAUUAGCCAUUCGGCUCAUUCCUUGGCCGAAAUUCUGACUCCUCUUGUUCAUUCGGCUCAUCCAGCCGAACCUAAUUUGCUGUAGAAGUUUCGAACCCGGCUGACCCGAUCCCUCGUCAACCGAAUCGCUUGACCAAUCGAAGGGCGCAAAUUUCGAGGGUCACUAUCCACAGCCGUUUCGCAUCCCUACGCGCUUCCCUAGGAAGAUCUUUGACCGGGUCAAGGGAUUGUAGAUUUCGGCUACCAACACAGCCAUUUGGCAUGCCCCAUGUUCAAUUCCUUUAGCUGCGUUUGGUUCCGGUAUAAGUAAGAACUGCUUAUUUUGGAAAAAAAAUUGGGUUAUUCAUGUGAAUAAGGUAAAUAGUGUUUGAAUGUUUAUAUUGGAACAGAAGGAAUAAGAGUUAUAAUUUUAAAUCAAAAAUAUUUUAUCUAAUUAAUUAACAUCAAAAUAUUAAUUAAAAAUAAUUUAAUAAAUUAAUAAAUUUAUUAGCUAUGAAUAUUGUAUAAGAUAAUGAAAAUAUAUUAAUUAAUUAAUUAAAUAUAAAAAAUAAUUUAACUUUUUUAAUUAGUUAGUAAAUUAUUUUAGUUAGAUAACUAGUAGUAAAAAAAUUAAUUAGAUUAAUAAAAAUAUUAAUGGUUGAUCAAUAUAUCAAUAUAAAGAUUAGUUUAUGGAUAAACACAUUAAAUUAUUAAUAAUUAAUUAGCUAACUAAUUAUAAAUAAUAAAUUAAUUAAUUACUUAAUUAUUUAAGCAAUGGAUAAUGAUUUAAAUAUAUUAAUUAGAUUAAUUAAUGAUUUAAUACCAUAAUUAAAAUUAAAUUUAGACUUUUAACCUUGUUCCCACUUGGGAACAAGCUUGUUACAGGGAAAAGGAUGGAACAGCAGUUCCAGACUUAUACCGAGUUAUACCAACUUACUCCAGGAAUACGAGAAUAACUGUUCUUGGGUAGGAAAAUUUACGUUUGGGAACAAAAGGGGGAACAAGGGCUUAUUCCCCCCUUGUUCCCGAACCAAAGGCUGCCUUAAUGACGGAAAUGAAGAAAUCAAAGCCUCUUUGCAUGCAAACCAGGUCCAAACAAUAAUUCCUCGAGAGAGGGAAUGAGGGCCUUUCAAUUCUUGCAACAUUUGAAUCUUCUUAGGUACAAGUAGAGCAUUACCAGUCUAGGAUAUGGAGUUUCCAAACAAGGAAUGAGAGAGCAUUGACCUCAAACAAGAAGACAGACAGAGAGAGCGGUGCAAUUAUAGCACUGACUGCAUGCACUACCAUCAAGCAUGCUUGAUCCGCAUGCAGCCACAACCAACAAACCUCGCCAUCGGGCUCUUCAGUACAUGAGAAGUAAAAUAAAUAUAAGAAGAUAGGGAAUAGGAUUCGAUUAUACACUAACAAAGUGAGGUACUUUGUUUUGCCUCUCCAAAGGUCAAUGCAGUCCAUGUAAUAAUUUCUCAUGCAGUGUGAGGUUUCGUUGGGGAAGACGGUCAAAAGAAAAGAAGUUUCAGAGGAAUCCAUACAUUUUUACUCAAAAUUUUAUCACAACAAUCAUCCACAAAAUGAAGUGAUACGGUGAAGAAUUCCACAAAAUGAAGUGAUACGGUGAAGAAUUCUCGUUAAGAACAACGCUGUACAAAAAAAUAUAUAUGAAAAAAAAUUUGUGACAAGUACCCUCCAUUAUUUAGCAGACCAUCAACCACGUUAUCCACAGGACAAAAAUUUUAAACACAAUCUAAAAUAAUCAAUUAUACUUUCUUCCAUGUUGUACCCGAUAUAUAUACAAUAUAUCGGGUUUUCUAUUACUAUUGUGCAAAGCGAAAGCAAUUGUACAAGAGAACAUAAGAAGAAAUGCACAAAUAUUAACAAAACCUAACCAUAAAAAAGAUCAAGCACAUCAAAGUUAACCAAAACGAUUGGAAAAACAAAACAUAACCUCCUGAAGAAAAGAAAAAGAAAAACUGUAUACAAAAUUGGGAGAAAAUGGUGUACAAAAGGCCAAUGGUUCUUUCGAGAUAGUUGUGAUUUGGAAGUCUUGUGGUUGAUAAUGUGGCAAUGAUUACAAUGCGCCAUCAACAAAACGUCAGCAUUCAGACAACUAAAUUGGACUAUGACACUUGAGAGCAACAAUCUAGAGAGUUCGAUCCAGAGAUUGCAACAUCUGAAAGUUUGAGGACCAAAGUGUCACAUGCCUUAUAGUUUGAGGACCAAAAGUGUCACACGCCUUAUAGUUUGAGGACCAAAUGUGCAAUUUAGCCUAAAAGUAAUUAAGAAAAACUUAGCUUUUAUAUUCAAAGCUAAUGUCAGGAGGCAAUCUAUCACCUGCUUGCUGUAACGAACCAUGAUGGACUAGUUCAGCAUCAUUAUGCAGAUCAGUUCAAGCAAUAUAUAUAUAUAUAUAUAUAUAUAGAGAGAGAGAGAGAGAGAGAGAGAGAGAGAGAGAGGAGCAAAACCUAUCAUGAGAAGACUCUAGAAUUGCAAUAGACAACGGUAUGCAAGUAUAGGGACUAUGUUCCAAUAUUGGGAUAGUACAAGGACUACUCAUACAUUUUACAUUUUCAUCAUACCUUCGAAACAGGAAUAAAGUAAAAGAGGCUUUUUAUUGGUGGCCGGUUAACCAUAGAGCGAUCCCUAUUAAUGUGAUUUGAGUUUAAACACGAGAAAUGCUUUGGGUUGCCCACAAAGUUAGAGACUGCAUCAAAAUAAUUGGAGAAAUGCUGCUUGUACACCCAUAAGUGGUACUCAAACAAUUGACUCAGCAGCUCUCCUCUUCAACAAAUCAAAUUCCCAUUAAUGUGAAUGGGUGCAACAGUUGCCAUAAGGCCGUGCAAGCUGCAUAUCCAUCAUACAUUUGACACAGGAAGAAAAAAAUAGAAGAGUUUAAUCAUGGGAAAUGCCUUGGAUCCCCCACAAAGUUAAGUACCUAAUCGAGAUAAUUUACUUAGAUCUCUUGACCAAAUCCAAUUUCUGUUCAGUGUAAAUGGCUGCAACGGUUGUCACAAGGUCGUCCAAGCACAUUUCCAUCAUAUCAUACCUGUGAAAUACCGGGUAAAAAUAUAAAAGAAGGCUUUAAGCAUAGCAGAUGGUUUCGAUCCCCCACAAAGUUAAAGACUAGAUGAAUGAUUUGAUGAAGUAAAAUUCCUGUUAGUGAAUGGCUGUAGCAGCUGCCACCAGGCCAUCCAAGCUGCAUUUCCAUCAUGUUUGAAACACAGAAAAAAUAAAAGAGUAUUUCUUUCGUCGCCACCUAAAUGGUACACAAAUUAGGCAGGGACAAUCGUUGGUGGGGACAGUCCCCAAAGUGAGACCGUUCCAUCCGCCAUUCAUCGCGUAUAUUCAAUGAAUUUCAAAUUCGUGUGAACGGCAGAUGGAGCGGUCUCACAUUUAGGACAAUCCCCAACAAAUGUUUUCCCCCAAAGAAAAGGGUCCACUACGGCCAAUGGGAUGUUGAUGCGGUCAAACCCAUAAUGUGGGGCCAUGGAAUGGGUGUAUGAACCAAUAAAAGCCCUCCACAUCAUGAUGCCAACACAUCAAAAUCCAAGAAGGGCAGGAUUAGCAGCACCCUUUAGUCACAGUAUACUUCACAAGUAAUGCCGUUACCACCGGCUUCGAUCACUCAAGGGUAAAUAGCCAUCAUUGCCUCUUCAUAGAUAAUAAAUAGAUUGGUAAAUAGAGGAAGAAAAUAGAAGAAUGUUCAAAAGAAACAAAUGUUCAUUAACAAAUCAUAAGCAAAUAAAGUACGAAAAGAAUACCUUAGUAACAAAAUCCAGAAUUAAAUGGCGAAAGCACUUAAGAAAACCAAAACAAAGAAGCCAUCGGCAAAAAAAUAGAAGAUUAAAAAAAAGAAAAAAAAAUAAAAAGAAUGCCUCCCACAAAAUCCAGAGAAAAUGGGCCAGCAGAGGCUCAGAUUCACAUUUCACCCUCACAUGACAACAUCACCCAAUUUGUAGCAUAAAUUAGAUCCUCGCAGUCUACAUCGGUUGCCUUGCAGCCAUCCGAGAUGCAUUUCCAUUGAAUAAUAUACGCCAUAAAAAUAAUAAUAAUAAUAAUAAAUAAAUAAAUAAAUAAAAUCUCAGGGGUCCAUAGCAAAAUGGGCUAUAGUUCAGGGGGUCUUUGUACAUUUUCACCCAGUUUAUCUCAAAGAUUUGUAAUAUCCUCAUAACCAGCUUUCAUCAGUCAAAAGCCGAGGGUGAUCUCAUCCAUCAUUGCCUCUUCAUAGAUAGACGAAUAGGAAAUGGAAAGAAAAUGAGAUAAUAACAGGAAAAACACGAGAAAAUGAGUAAAAAGGAAGAAUAAGAAAAUCGCUUUCUACACAAUGGAUCAAGAAAGCAGGCCUACAACUGCAAUAUAAAAGCAUUUCAUUGUAGAGUUCGCCUUGAAAGGCAAAGGUACAACAAGAAAAUUUUGAAUAAAUUUUAUUGAAAAGUACCCAGCAUUUCUCAGCAUCAUAUAAACCAAACCAUUCAAAAAUAAAAACAUGAUAAGAUUUAAGAGCCUAGUAUGCAAAAAACCCAAAAGAAAAGCACAAGAAAGAUAUAAAGCAAAGUAUAAUAAACAGAUUCUCAGAUUCUUAAUUCUUAAAUCUUCAUAACAAUACCCAACUUAGCAAAACAAAAUACCAAGACAUCAGAAGACAAAUUACAGAGAAAUGGAGAAAAAGUUGGAAGGACAAUCAAAGUUUUCAUCACAGAAAACAUAAAAAAAGAUUGCCAUACAGCCAUCCUUGAUGCCACACUUUUGAAUCCUUUAGCACAAGAAGUGAAAGAGAUUGAAAAAGAGGAAGGGUUAAAGGUCAUUUUACCCUGGUCAUACCAUGCCUGUUUGUGAAGUGCUAUUAUAUUAUCGCCUCCUCAUAGAAAAACCAGGUCCAGGCAAUAAUUGAAAGAGAGAACUAUAAUAGGAAGGAAUUUCCUACAGCCUGAAUUGUAGAGAAUCUGCUGUCAUGAGCAUGGUCUGGGAGAAGGAGAUGGAUAAAACUUCAGUGGGGAACAUCGAUCUACUGCCAUGCAUUAGUUUUGCCUCCAUUCAAUCAUUCGUUCGGUGUUUUCUAAUAUUAAAAUCCAAAAAAAACUUAGGACUCCUCUACAGGGCAUCAUUGGGGAGCUCCCCACUGAAGUUUUUUCCGAAGGAGAUGACAGACACCAGAUCUGAUUAGUAGCUAAGGUACGAAAUGUAACUAAUGAGGAGAACAGUAUCCAGGCUAAAUAAACCAACUAAAUCAAACCAAAUUAUUUUGGUUUGGUUUCAUUUGGUUCACUUCAUGUCCACAAUUUGGCUGAGAUUGUUUUGUAUAAGAACUCCAAAAUCUGAACCAAACCAACCAAUGCACACCCCUGCCUGUAGCCAUCAAACCCUUUCUUGGAACUGAAGGAAAUCAAAGAAGGGAAUAGUCAGUCAAGAUAUCCAACUAUGGCCUACUUGGGGAUUGUGUUUCCAAAAAGCAUCCAAUUUUCUAAAAAAAAAAUCUGAAACUGCUUAUAAUUUUCCCCCCUCCAAUGCAAUUUAC
rnacentral:lncRNA from 1 species